rnacentral:rRNA from 1 species
AUACGGAGGAUGCGAGCGUUAUCCGGAUUUAUUGGGUUUAAAGGGUGCGCAGGCGGCCAUUUAAGUCAGCGGUUAAAUCGUGGGGCUCAACCCCAUUCUGCCGUUGAUACUGGGUGGCUUGAUUGCGGUCGAGGUUGGCGGAAUUCGUUGUGUAGCGGUGAAAUGCAUAGAUAUGACGAAGAACACCGAUUGCGUAGGCAGCUGACCAGACCGCAAAUGACGCUCAUGCACGAAAGUGCGGGGAUCGAACAGGAUUAGAUACCCUGGUAGUCCGCACAGUAAACGAUGAAUACUUGUUUUCGGCGAUAUAAUGUCGGAGGCAAAGCGAAAACGAUAAGUAUUCCACCUGGGGAGUACGCCGGCAACGGUGAAACUCAAAUGAAUUGACGGGG